ACGUAGGGUGCGAGCGUUAAUCGGAAUUACUGGGCGUAAAGGGUGCGCAGGCGGCUUCGCAAGUCAGGCGUGAAAUCCCCGGGCUUAACCUGGGAAUGGCGCUUGAAACUACGGAGCUGGAGUAUGGCAGAGGGAGGUGGAAUUCCACGUGUAGCGGUGAAAUGCGUAGAGAUCGGGAGGAACAUCAGUGGCGAAGGCGGCCAUCUGGGACAACACUGACGCUGAAGCACGAAAGCGUGGGGAGCAAACAGGA
rnacentral:rRNA from 1 species